rnacentral:lncRNA from 1 species
UUUUAAUCUUUGCGCUCUUUCUCUGUCCCUGAGGCCUCUUUUUGCUGGGGGAGGAGCAAAACAAAGGUAUGGUUGUUGCUCCAGCUCGCAGACCUGCGCUGGCUUCACUCCAGCUACUGUGGGUCAUAGGAGCAGAAGAGAUAUGGAGGCAUGGCCUGACAACAGCCCAGCAACCAGAAGGCAUUUCAGCGGUGACCUCAGGUUUAGAGCUCAGUGUGCCAUACAAAGCCCACGGGCACACCAGCCCAGGCAACACAUGCUACAUGCUGCCGAGAGGACAGCCUGCGUGGGACAGGGCACCUGGGAUAGCUGAGCACACUCCUGUACGCCGCAGAGCCACGACGGCUGCAGUGAGAUGGGAUGGCUGCAGGAAGAAAUGGAUACAUGCAUGAGCACGGACGGAAAAGGCUGGGAGAGGAGAACACGGGUCCACAUAAGCAGACUGCAACUGUGAUGGAUAUUUCUCAGGCUAUCCAUUACAGAACAAUUACCAUGCAUUUAGUCUUCUCUCUUCCUCUCCAAAAAUCAGCAGCUGAAAUAAAAGCCACCAAGAGCUAUCAAAAUGGUUCUAUCAGAAGCUGGGAUAAGGAUAAAAUACCCUUUGGGGACUGCACCUUGGCUCUUGUGGGCAGGUCACAGAGCAACUCUGGGGAUGCUGCAGGAGGCUACUCCAGCCAAAGAGCCUGCAGGUGCCCUCCUAUUUUGGCAGCAUCCUUCCUGUAA